CCGGGAGAGGCAACUGCGGGGCGGAGGAGCCGUGCAGGCCUGGCGGCCCUGUCGAAGCUGCGUCUGUCUCGCUGAUGUGGCAGAUGUGGUCAAAAAGGAGCCGAGAGCAAAAGGUUUUUCCUUGACGGUCGCCGCUCAGUUUGAGCCUCUGUAGCUGUCCGGCAACACUUCAGGAAAAUACAUGGGCUGGGAGGCAGUGUGCAGGCCAGAUACCUGCUUCUGGGGUCCAAAUUGGUGUGCGAAGGUGGGAGGUGGCAGCAUCCUGGCGUCAGAGGUGAUCGCGGUGCCUGAGGCGGCUGGUGACGGCCUCAGCUCAGCGGCGUGGGGCAGGGUCGUUUGAUGUUUUGGAGCUCGCUCAGCCCGGGGCCUUUCCUCCUGACAGACGCGAGGUGAGAACGUAGCCCCGUGUUGCAGCGCCACGGCUCGUCCCUCCAGAUCCCUUUCCCAUCAGAUCUGAGUACCGAUCUUGUGGUCAAAAAAGGAGGAAAAGUAAGAUCCAGACUGGUCUUGGUCUCUUUGCUGGUGCAGUCCUGCUCUGAGAAGGGCCGGUUUGGAGACAGUCUGCGCUGGCCUCGCUCCUGCGGGAAGGCUGGGGCGGGAGUGCAGCUCCCACUCCGGAGGCGGCACAAAGGUUGGGUGUGGAGGUGCUGUGAAGAUUUGCAGGCUGGUGUUUGCGUGGCUGGAUCUGGCGCGUUGAUUCCGGGUGUACAGUAGCCCACUGACUCCAGAUACUUAC
rnacentral:lncRNA from 1 species